GCGGAUCUUAAUCUAGUUAUAAUAUUAAAAGCAUUGGAAUUGAAAACAAUUGUAUUGUAUUAAUCUUUGUUGUUCUUUUGACCUUCGUUAUUAAUUAUUUUUUCUUCUUAUAAUAAAAAAAAUUUUAUCGCCUCUUCAGUUUUUUUCUGACGUCAGUAAUCCCUUCGACCGGAAUCGUAGGGUACUAUAUUCUUUCUUUCUUUACUUCAUCGGCCUUUUCUUUCUCCUGUCUGUUUUGCUCGAGCUAUGGGUUUGUCUCGCCGCCUUUGUUCUCUCUUUAAUCGACGACAACUCAUGCACAAAAGAGCUGAUUUGUGCAAGAGGCUGUCGUCGGGGUUGACGGUGCUGUCUGGUUUGUUGCUGCAUAUUUUCCACUCAUUUGGUGGUACAGGAGCGGAGAUGAGGAGUGGGAUUUGGAUAGGUGUCAACCCUUUAUCUAGCUUUCUCAAAUCGUUCAACCAAGUUCAUUUUUUUUUGCGGAUUUAGAGUUUCGACAUCGAUUGUGGUGGCGUGUGGAGCCCUAACGAGAUUUGUACUCCAUGUAUCUGCUGUAGCGUCUCUUCCUCGCGUCUCUUGUGAGAUUUGGGAGGUCAUGUGGUUGGUUCUCAGCCACAAGGGCUUGUGAGAAGUUUUCCUCUCUCAGAGUAGUCGCACGAGCUUAGGUAGCUUCUGUAGCAUCCCGAGACUGCAUCCACAUCACCUUAGUGGUCUCUGUCUCUCAGUAUCAGGUUCUUGGCUGUGGAAACUCAUUCUCUAUCUUCUUUAAUAAAAUUAUUAGUUUAGCCUAUGCUCUCGGUAUGUCUAUGCGUUAGUUGUUUUUCCAGUUUAGAAAUUUAUUGGGUUAGUUAGUUUAUCUUCAAGAGACGUGAUUGGGAAUACGCCGAAACGACCAAUUUCAGUCUUUCAUUUACAACUUUCAAUCAACGGCGUCAAUUAGCUCUCUCAUGUAAUCUCUCUCUUCAAUUAAGGUGCAAGUGCGUUUGGGAUAUCGAUCUGUCGAUAUCGUGUCCGCUGCAUUUUUUCCUUUAUUGCUGUUACUAGGAGUUAAAUUUAUGCAUACGUGUUUUUAUUACCUAUGUACCUCUAUCCAAAAUUGAAAACUGGUAAAAUAACUUAUCCUUUUUACUAAAAGAAAAGGAAAUAGUUUGUCAGCUAUACAAAGUAUACUCUUAUAUGGUGAAAACCAUCCAAAGUACGUAUUAGAAUAUGUCAAUAACUACAUCAUGUUUAGGUUAAUACAUGUCACAUAUAUGAACUUAAAUUUAAUAUGGUGGCAACAUCAUAAUCGGGUUUAAUUGAAUUUAGAUUUAGUUAUUGGGAUCAUUCUGUAAAUUUAUAAACAUGCACCUCUAUUAAUAAAACCCGACCCAAACCCAUAAACCGACCCGACAUAACUAUUCUUUCCCCAAUCGAUUUAUUUAGGGUUCUAAAGGAAAAAAAAAAUAGGGGUUUCGAAAAGAAUGAGAUUGAGAGAGAUUUGAGAGACAGAGAGAGCCUCUUUCUUCGAUUGACACUCUAACUUUGAUUAAAUCCAAGUAAACAAUUAAGGGUUCACAGUUGAUUACUUCAUCAUGUUCUUCGAUUCAACAAUCUGUCUCUGUCUCUCAAGUCUGAAAUCGAUUCUCUUUCUAUGUCUCUGUUACCUCAUCGUGGCCCUGGAAUUGACUCUCUCUAUGUCUAUAUUAUGAAGAAAUUGAAUCUCUCUCUGUUCUCUCAAAUCUCUUUCAGUAUCUCUUUUCGAAAUCCUUAAUUUUUACUUUAGAACCCUAACUAAAUUGAUUUGGGGAAAGAAUAGUUAUGUCGGGUCGGGGUUUGUUAUUAGGGUUUAGGUUUAUAAAAUUACAGAAUGAUCCCAAUAACUAAGUUUAAAAUCAAUUAAACUCGAUUAUGAUGUUGCUACCAUAUUAAAUUUAACUUUGUAUAUGUGGCAUGUAUUAACUGUAGCGAAGCCACCUUAUAAGGUAUGGGGGCAAGUGCACCCACGAUUAUUUUAAAAACCUAAAUUUUGUGUGUAAAACCGUUAGAAAUUAAUUAGCUUAGGUGGUAAACAGAAGCCUGUGCACCAAUUCAUUCCUAGGUUCGAACUUUCUCAUUAGCAAUUUGUUUUCUAUUAACAGUUGUGCACCCAUUAGAUAAAUGUUCUAGAUUCGCCCAUGUGUAUUAACAUAUACAUGGUGUAAUUAUUAACGUAUUCUAAUACUUUGGAUGGUUUCCAACCAUAUUACUGUAUUAGAAUAUACUUAGUGUAACUGACUAAUUUUUUUCCAAAAAAAAAACUAUUUCUUCUUCUCUUUUCUUAUGAGGAGACUGUUCAUUUUAUCUACUUAUGGAGUUCACUACCCCCACAGCCAUAAUUAUUUUCCGAUCGUAUCAUCGUCGUUUGUAAAUUUUAAUCGUACGAAAGUUUAUUAUUUCGCAAUCUUCUGUAUUUCAUCCUUGCGUCAGCAUGACAUCCUGCAUAUAUGAGAUCCAGAACUUUCAUUUCUGGAGAGAAAUACGCUUUGAGCUAUUUGAGUUUUAAUAUUAAUAUUCAGAGACUUCAUCUCAUCACUAAAAUAAAGUACAUAUUUUGUAUAAAUUAAAAUUGAAGUAUUAUAAAUAAUUAUAUAUAUUAAAUAGUUAUAAAUAUACGAGAUAAAAAUUAGGUUAUCAAUAAUGGUUCGUAUAUGACUCUGUAAGUUUACAAGUUUUAAUCAUUACAAAAUUUUGCCACAAUUUAUGACUAAAUAUUUUGGUCUAUUUAUAGUAAUUAAAAUUUUUCUCAGUUUUUCUUUUCACAGACUGUGCAUUAGUUCAGUUUGUUGCGUAUAACCUAGCCAUUCUAUCUCUUUUUAUAUCAUUCUGCUGGGUAUGUUUUCUUUUGAAAUGUUACAAAUUACAGUUACAUCUUUUACUAAAUUUGAUAUGUUUAAGUAUUUCUAAAAUAACAUUGUGCUUGCUCCAAAACGAGGAUUUUGUUAGGAUUUUUUGUUUGGUACAUUCAAAUAAUUUGUUUUAAUUGAGAUAAAUAAAUAAAAUUAACUGUAAUUAUACCCAGCAGAAUGAUAUAAAAAGAGAUAGAAUGGCUAGGUUAUAAGCAACAAACUGAACAUUAUUUAUUUUAUUUUUAUUCUUCAACAUACGGUUUUUGGUUGAGUAUUUUGGUUAUUGGUGUUUUGGUUCAAGAAAUUUAGAAACCAUUCAAAAAUUUAAAACGUCCGGUCAGUUGUGUUAUUUCGUUUUUUUUUGGGUUUAAUAGCAAAGUUGAGAACUUGCUAAUAUGCAAACAAAAAAAAAAAUCGGGCAAUUUAAAUUGUUCAAAUAAAAUAUCAGAUAAUUUUUAAUAUUUUGUAUAAAAAUAUUUGGGUAAUUCAGUUUUUCGGGUAACUCAAUUUAUAAAUAGUAUUUUAAGAUAUUUUUUAUUAGAAACUAUAUAUAAUUAAUAUUUGUAAGUACGUAAUUUGUAUUUUAAAAAUUCAAGUACUCAUUUGGUUUUUGAUUCGGUUUCAAUUUUUUUGAUUCUAGAGAUAUAUGAUCUACUCGGUUCUUUAUGAAAUUCAGUUCAAUUUUUGUUUUGGUUUUUCAGUUUGGUAAAGUUCGGUUUGCGUUUCCGAAUAAAUGUUCUCAAACCUAUACACUAUUUUAUAUAGAUAAAUAAAAAUUAAAAUAAUUUAUUUAAUUUCAAAAAUAAAUUCGCGUUUUCUAAGCGCGGGUCAAAAUCUAGUUUGUUUUAACUGAGAUAAAUAAAUAAAAUUAACUGUUUUUUUAUGGGGACGAUUUCUAGCUAAUUUUCUAUUAAAUGUAUGUUUGAACUUAUUUGAAAUAUAUGAAACUAAUAAACAAUUAACAAAUAAACUUUGGUUCCGAAAAUAAUAAAAUAAAUAAUGUUCAUAAAAAAUAAAUAUAAAUAUUAGUAAAAAUUCUCAGGAAAAGUUGAAAAUUUUGUUAGUAUCAUGAUCUGAGGUUUGAAGAAAAGAAUAAUGAGUCGCUGACACUUAUCCGACUAUCUGCGCCAAACAAAGUAUCCACUCAUAUUUGCCGUGUGGGUCCUUCUUUUUGACUACUUGUCGUUUUCCAUCACCUACUUCAAUUUUCAUACAUGUUCUUCAUAUUGCAUCUAUACAUAUAGUGUCUUAUCAUUAUCUGAGUAUAUAGCAAUAUUACAUACGUAACUUGGAGCAGUGGUCUAUUCAUCGUCAACUAAGUUCGUCUUGAAACGAGUGCAUGAAUCUCAUAUAUAUUAAUCGUCAACUAAGUUCGUCUUAUUGCUUUUUUAUUUUUUUUUUAAACUAAGUUCAUCUUGAAAAAGCUAUACAAAUCCUGGGUCGAAAUUUGAGAUAGAUUAUAUGGAUUUAGAUGACAUGUAUAAGUGUUACUCGAAAAUCGGCUUGCUAUUCCUACCGAACUACAAGGGUUAUUUUUCAAUAAAGAAAGAUUUAGUGCUUUUAGUUUAGUAUAAAUGUUAUCUCGUUUGCCUCGCAAUGCUAGAUCUAGAGAUGUUAAUUUUUUCUUAUAGAACCUAAAUGACUAAUUGGUUAUGUUUUAGAAUCUAAUGAAUUGUUAAGUUGAAAAAUAAGCUAAUUUGUUUUGGUAUUAAUAUUAAGAAAACAAACUAGAUCUCGAUCUGCGCGGAUGUUUGUUUUCAUUUAUUUUUAUAUAAACAUUUUGUUUUUAAUUCUAAAUUGGUAUAUAUUAUAAUAUAUAUAAGGUGUUUUUAUCACAUUUUAAAACAUAAUAAUUUUAACGUAUAUUUUUUUAUUGAAUUGGUUGUUUUAAACUUUCACAAGUUAUUAAAAAAUUAAACUUUUAGCUUCACAGAUUUAUAUUAUCGAAUAUAUUAAGGUUGUUCAAACAUAAUAAUAUUAGAGUAUACUUGUUCUCCAUCAAAUAGAUUGUUUCAAACUUUCACAUGUGUUUAUUUCUUCUUAUAUAUUUUUUUGUUUGUUGGAUUAGUAUUUCAUUUUUGAAUAAAUAAAUAGAAAUAGAAUUUGGAAAUAUUAAAAUAUUAUCAUCUCCAAAGAUAAUCAAACAUUUCACAAAAUAAGAAAGUUAACAAAAACUAAACUUAAAGCUUCGUGUAUAAAUUUUAUAAAGAAUUCAAUUAAACAUUUAAUUAUAUUUUGUAAAUGAACUAUAUACAAAAGACAAAUCAAUGUGAAAUCAGUUUAGUUUUAAAAAUUUACAUGAUUAGGUGUAGAAGUCUCGAGAAAUAUUUUUGCUCCUUGCAGUCUCUUUCAAAUACGAUGGUACAUGAUAUGGAAGUAAAAAUUGAUAACAGAGUUUUCCGAUCAUUUUUUUUUUUGCUUGGAAAUGAUUAAUAGUUAUUUAAUUCCUAUAAUGUAGUAAUAUUGUGUUAUAGACAUAUUAUUUAGUUUUUAUAAUCUAUAAAAUGAGUUAGUUAGAUCUAUAAUAAUGAUAAGAUUAGAGAUUAAAUAUAACAUAAUUUUCUAGUAAUAUGUCUAUUAGGUCUAUUUUUAAAAAAAUCACACAUGAAUCAAAGUUGUGACUUCUGUUAUAAUAUAUAAGAUGUUGACAAUUUCUUAAUUUAUGCUGCUAAUCUAGCACAAAUGUGUGCGUCUGUCCGAUAAUAAUGGAAAUCCAAGUGUCGGUUAAGAAGAGCCUAGAGGAGUGACGGUCUAUAGAUGGGAUCGUCCAGACCGUUAGAAGAACAUCUGAUGGACUGACAAAAACAUAUGAUGGUUCCUGGAUGUGACACAUUCUAAACCUGAAAAUCUAAUUUAAUACUUCUUCCUUUCCAUUUUAAUUAUCAUCGUAGACUUUAAAAUUUAUUUUAUUAAAAGUUAUAUUUUAUAUUUCAAUGCAAAUAUUUGAUAGUUUUUCCAAUUUUGUUUCUAUUUUUCAGCUAAUUAAUUAAAACACACACACAAAAUACUAAUGUAUUAAUUAGUGGUAUAAUAGAAAAUAAAAUAUGUAUGAGAAAACUUUUUUUUAACUUAUGUAUGAGAAAACCUUAAACAACAUAUAAAACAAAACGGAGAGAGUAAUUUUUAUUUUUAUUCAAAGAGGAAAAAAACAUUUAUAACCUUAGAGUUGAGAGGUGUGAUAGGUUUUUAGGAUGUGAGAUUUGAGAUUCUAAUAAAUAUAUAAAUAAAUACUUAAAUAAUUUCAAAAAGAAUUUUCAAUUUUCAAAAAAAAAAUUUGAAAAAAAAAUUCAAAAAAUGAUAUAAAAAUUUUGACUUUGAAAAACUAUAAUUUGUAGAGUCUUUUGCUUCCUAAUGAUAUUUGUAUACAUAUUAAAUAUAUUUUUAAAAAUAAUGUAUAAAAUAUAGUAUAUACAUCAGUAGAUUAUGUUAAUUUUUAUUAAUUAUCUUAAAUAUCAUGAUAUAUAUAUAAAUAUAUUUAUAAAUAAAAUUUUAAAUAAUAAUAUUAAUUAUAUUAAUAAGUUAUCCUAAAAUUAUUGAAAAUAUGACAAGUAAGCAAAUUCAUUCCUAAUAGUAGUAUAGAUUGAUUUGGUUAACGAAGUCUUCAUAGUUGCACGGAUCUGACCUAAUUGUCUCCGUAUUAAUCGCGACCUUUUAAGUAUUUAAUAGAAACUCUUUAAUUAAGUCAAUACGUUAUCUAGCAUAGAGGGCCAUUAAGCUUUUUAAUUAAUUAUUACUAUUUCUCAAUAUGAUGAUAUUAACUGCGACGUCUUAAGUCUUGGUCUUUCCCCAGUAACCAUUAUCCAACAAGAGUUUCAUUUGAUUUUUUUUUUCUCCGGAGAUGUUGAAUUUUAAGUAUAUUGUUGAUUUAAAAAAUUUUGAAAUUGUUUUUUUUUAAACUGAAUUGUUUUGGUUCUUUUUGUGAAUUUUUCAUUAGUCAUGACAAACAAUUAUAUUCAUGACCAGCAAUUAUAUUUUAAUAUAUUUUUUAGUUAAUAAUAUUAUAUUUUGUUAAAAAUAGAUGGAUGAAGAUAUACGAUUAGUAUGUGCAUGAUUUGCUAGGAUGCAAAUCGAAUAUCGGUAAACCAUUUUUCUUUCCGGA